AACGAACGCUGGCGGCAGGCUUAACACAUGCAAGUCGAACGGAUCCUUCGGGAUUAGUGGCGCACGGGUGAGUAACGCGUGGGAAUGUACCCCUUGGUAAGGAAUACUAUCUGGAAACGGAUACUAAUACCUUAUAAUGACUUUGGUCCAAAGAUUUAUCGCCAAGGGAUCAGCCCGCGUCUGAUUAGGUAGUUGGUGAGGUAACGGCUCACCAAGCCGACGAUCAGUAGCUGGUCUGAGAGGAUGAUCAGCCACACUGGGACUGAGACACGGCCCAGACUCCUACGGGAGGCAGCAGUGAGGAAUAUUGGACAAUGGGGGAAACCCUGAUCCAGCCAUGCCGCGUGAGUGAAGAAGGCCUUAGGGUUGUAAAGCUCUUUCAAUGGUGAAGAUAAUGACGGUAGCCAUAGAAGAAGCCCCGGCUAAAUUCGUGCCAGCCGCCGCCGUAA
rnacentral:rRNA from 1 species